UACGGGGGGAGCAAGCGUUGUUCGGAUUUACUGGGCGUAAAGGGCGCGUAGGCGGCCUCCGCAAGUCGACUGUGAAAUCUCCGGGCUUAACCCGGAAAGGUCAGCCGAAACUGCGGGGCUAGAGUGCAGAAGGGGCAACUGGAAUUCUCGGUGUAGCGGUGAAAUGCGUAGAUAUCAAGAGGAACACCAGUGGCGAAGGCGAGUCUCUGGACAACUCCUGACACUGAGGCACGAAAGCUAGGGGAGCAAACAGG
rnacentral:rRNA from 1 species